ensembl:lncRNA novel transcript
GCGGACCUCAGGUCUUAGGCAGGAGCUUGCGGGCCUAAAAUGCAUUAGCUGGUUUUUACUGAAUUUACGCUUAGCAGAGACCUACAGAAAAAUGAGAUCCAGCUCGCCGCUGGAGGGAACAGCUCUGGCCUCCCAGUGACGCUGAUAUAGACGCGAGGCUGGAGUGAUUUUUUUGAUAAUCCUGCUAGAGACAGAAUGGAUCGCAGUUUCAGCGGACUAACAUUCCUCGCAGACCAAGCCUCGUCUCUGCCUUCUUAGGAUUCAGCUUGGGGUGGUCCAUUGACUUCUCCAGGGAGCUCCUAGCGUUUGCGGCCGCGUCACAUCUCCAACCUUUGCCUCGCCCUGCCUGUCAUCCCGGUUUUCUUUCUUGCCCGCCUAAGUGUGGCGGACAGGGAUACUAUUCCCCGCCUUCCAUACCGCCCCUUCCUCCUUGUCGCGGACUCCUUGUCCUUGCCGGUUCACCUCCCUGUGGAGGACCUCCUCUCUCUGUCAUUGGAACAAGCCUUGCUCGGUCGUCAGUGUGGAUGUUCCUGGGUCCCCUAGAACACUCGAAAUCUCCCCAAAAAUACCAGAGAGUAGCGGUGGGUGCCCUGCCCCUUGCUGUACCCCUCUGUCCGCAGCCGUGUUGUGGAGGGAAAGGGAGAAUAGAAAACCAAUGUGAAAAAAAAAAGGCAAAAGCUAAGAUGAAAGCUUUUGAAUCAAGUAAAAGAGGCCCCAAAAUAAAUAAAUAUAAAUCUCUAGAAAUAAGCAAAGAGAGCCUAACUGGAGGAUAAAACCUUUGGCUCUUUGCUUAUUUCUCUUGCUGCGCUUCUCUGCAUCCCAGACUAACUCCUUUCCACCCACCACCUGCCGCUCCCCGCUGCCGCAAGUGGUUCCUUAACAGACCGCAACGGGUGGCGGAGAGAUCUGGGUGACCUGACUCGGGCGUCCAUCCCCCGGCCUGGGCUGCGGGACACGCUGGUAACCAACAGGCCAAUGCAGGUUCUAGGGAUGUCAAUCCCUGUCUACUGCUUAGCCCUGCGUGUUUAGUUAAAGCGGUGCAUUUGUUAAAAUUGAUGACCUAAAUUGACACAUCAGUAUUACUCAAAGUCCACAGUUUACAAUAGGGUUUACGCUUGGUGUUGCACAUUUUAUGGGUUUGGAUAAAUAUAUAAUGACAUACUUCCACCAUUAUAGUAUACAGAGUAUUUUCGCUGAGCUAAAAAUCCUUUGUGCUCCACCAAUUAAUCAGUCCCUCCCUCUCCCUCUAACCCUUGGCAACUUCUGAUCUUUUACUAUCUCCACAGCUUUGCCUUUUCCAGAAUACCAUAUAGUUGGAAUCAUACAGUAUGUAACUUUUUCAGAUUGGCUUCUUUCACCUAAUAAUAUGGUACAUGUUUCCUCCAUGUCUAUUCAUGGCUUGAUAACUCAUUUCUUUUUUUUAGCACUGAAUGAUAUUCCAUGGUCUGGAUGUGCCACAGUUUGUUUAUUCACCUACAGAAGGAAAUCUUGGUUGUUUCCAAGUUUGGGCAAUUAUGAAUGAAGCUGCUAUAGAAAUAUAUGUGUAAGUUUUUAUGUGUACAUAUGUUUUCAACUUCUCUGGAUAGAUACUAAGGAGUAUAAUUGCUGGCUUGUAUGAUAAAUGUAUGUUUAGUUUUGUAAGAAACUGCUAAAGUCUUCCAAAGACAUCAUACCAUUUUGUAUUUCCAUCAACAAUGAAUUAGAGUUCCUAUUUUUUGACAUCCUCAACAGUAUUUGGUGUUGUAAGGGUUCCGGAGUUUGGUCAUUCUAAUAGGUGUGUGUGUUGUCUCGUUUUAAUUUGCACUUAUCUGAUGGGAUAUGAUGUGGAGCAUCUUUUCACAGGCUUAGUUGCUACUUGUUCUGGGUUUGUUUCUUUUCAGUCUUUCUUCUCUUUGCUUUUCGGUUUUGGAAAUUUCUACUGAUAUAUCCUUAAGUUCAAAGCUUCUUUCUUCAGCCAUGUGAAGUCUACUAAUAAGCCCAUCAAC